rnacentral:rRNA from 1 species
GACGAACGCUGGCGGCGUGCUUAACACAUGCAAGUCGAACGGAAAGGCCCUGCUUUUGUGGGGUGCUCGAGUGGCGAACGGGUGAGUAACACGUGAGUAACCUGCCCUUGACUUUGGGAUAACUUCAGGAAACUGGGGCUAAUACCGGAUAGGAGCUCCUGCUGCAUGGUGGGGGUUGGAAAGUUUCGGCGGUUGGGGAUGGACUCGCGGCUUAUCAGCUUGUUGGUGGGGUAGUGGCUUACCAAGGCUUUGAAGGGUAGCCGGCCUGCUAGGGUGACCGGACACAUUGGGACUGAGAUGAGGCACGGACUCGUACGGGAGGGAGCAGAGGGGAAGAUUGUACAAGGGGCGGAACCCUGGUGCAGCAACGCCGUGUGGGGGAUGAGGGGCUGGGGUUUGGAAACCGCAUUCGCCUUUGACGAAGUGUGAGUGACGGUAAUGGGUAAAGAAGCACCGGCUAACUACGUG